GUAGGUGAACCUGCGGAAGGACCAUUACAGUAGUCACCCAGGUUGCCGCAAGGCCUCCUGGGUAACCUACCACCCUUUGUUUAUUACACUUUGUUGCUUUGGCAAGCCUGCCCUCGGGCUGCUGGCUCCGGCCGGCGAGCGCUUGCCAGAGGACCUAAACUCUGUUUGUCUAUACUGUCUGAGUACUAUAUAAUAGUUAAAACUUUCAACAACGGAUCUCUUGGCUCUC
rnacentral:misc_RNA from 1 species